rnacentral:rRNA from 1 species
CCCGACUGCUAUUUGGGUGAGGAUAAACCAUGCGAGUUGUAUGGGAUACCUAAAUUUCCCAUAGCAAACUGCUUAGCAACACAUGAUCAACUUGCCCUAUGGAGAAAUAUAACCUCGGGAAACUGAGGAUAAUGCUUCAUAGUUGAAUAGGCUUGGAAAAUUUUUCAAUGAAAGGGAUAAGAAAAAUGGUUCUUAUCUGCCAUAGGAUAGGAUCGUGCUCGAUUAUGGUUGUUGGUGAGGUAACGGCUCACCAAGCCGAUAAUCGAUAGGGGCCGUGAGAGCGGGAGCCCCAAGAUGGGUACUGAGACAGCGACCCAGGCCUUACGAGGCGCAGCAGGUACGAAACCUCCGCAAUACACGAAAGUKUGACGGGGUUACCCAAAGUGUUCUUAUAGAACUGUGGCAGGUGAGUAAUGUCACCUGCUAGAAAGGAGAGGGCAAGGCUGGUGCCAGCCGCCGCGGUAAAACCAGCUCUUCAAGUGGUCGGGAUAAUAUUGGGCUUAAAGUGUCCGUAGCCGGUUUAGUAAGUUCCUGGUAAAAUCAGGUAGCUUAACUAUCUGCAUGCUAGGAAUACUGCUAUACUAGAGGGCGGGAGAGGUCUGAGGUACUACAGGGGUAGGGGUGAAAUCUUAUAAUCCUUGUAGGACCACCAGUGGCGAAGGCGUCAGACUGGAACGCGCCUGACGGUGAGGGACGAAAGCCAGGGGAGCGAACCGGAUUAGAUACCCGGGUAGUCCUGGCCGUAAACGAUGCAUACUAGGUGAUGGCACGGCCAUGAGCCGAGUCAGUGCCGUAGGGAAACCGUUAAGUGUGCCGCCUGGGAAGUACGGUCGCAAGGCUAAAACUUAAAGGAAUUGGCGGGGGAGCACCACAAGGGGUGAAGCCUGCGGUUCA